UCAAAUAGAUAGUUUGUCUAUGAUCUAAACUAUGAACUUUGCUCAAUACGCGAAUAUGACGCAGCAGCCGAUGUUUGUUUACGUCGGGUCAUUCUCACGUAAUCUAGAAAUCCAAAUUGAAGCAACUCCAUUCAUGAAAGUUACAUAGCAAGAGUAUUCAUUCACACCUUCCAGAAAUCACAUUUCGCAAUAGUUUAGUGUAAUCCAAUCGCAAAUAUCCGAUACAAAAGACGACUCAGUAGAAAGUUUACCAAUAAUGUUCAGCAUCAAUUCUAGGCCUCAUAAAUCUCAAACACACCAAACAGCAAUCGUAACAAUGUCUUCUUUUCAGUUAGUUCUUUUAUGGGAAAUGUCAAAACAUCGUUCCAUCGUUGGUUGACCCGGUUGACCUAAUGAAUGGGUGCGUUUAGUAGUCGUCCGUCAUAGAAUAGUUGAAAUGGUUCAGAAGUUUCAGUGAAUAGUUUUUCGAAGUGAUUGGAAAGUGACUUUUCCCGUCUUGGACUUCCAAAAAAAAGGGAGUAGUCCAAGUUUUACGCUCAGGCUACUGGUCCAAUUCUUGUUAUAACAAUAUAAUAGGAAGAUGGAGGAAUUAUACUGCAUUUUCUCGGGUGGUAACCCGAAAUAGACGAAGAAUUAGAGUAUACGAUUUUUUCCAAAUUUCUUUUGGGAAGUCCACAGUCAAGGUUGAUCAGAACCAAUGGAGUAAUUAUAUUGUAUUCAUUUGGGUGGUAACCCGAAUCAUAAGGAGAAAUGAAGUAUGCGUAGAUUUGGUCACAAUGGCCCGUUUUUUUUUCAUUGUUUUGGAAGGUCAUCAUAGUAAUUAUAAUGUAUUUAUUCGGAUGAGAAUCUGAGAUACCGAGGAAUGAAGUAUGUUUUAGUUGGUCACAAGGACCCGGUUUGUCCAAAUUACUUUUUGGAAGCUACAGGUCAUUCGAAUCAAUUGUUUUUUCCUGGACAAAAUUCAGAAAGGGUAAAUAAACAAGUUAGAAGGAUCUAGGCAAUUAACUAUGUUUGUUUUGGUUUAGUUCUACACUAUAUACAACAUAAAGUCAUUCAUUUAAAACCAUCUACCUUGAAACCUUAUAUUACAUUAAAAAAAAUACGUUUCACUCCAUUUUUUUUUACCGUUAGUGGGGAGUAAUGUAACAGAGUUAAAGUAAAAAAAUAAAACCCGAUACCCAACCCUAUUAUCAUUAUUGAUUUCACCUAGGCAACAAUCGUUCCGUGUCUCUGGGCCCUUACUAGCCAAGAUAUAUCAGACGAGCCAAAUUUGACAAAGACGGCAGGUAGAGAUUAUACCACCGGAUAAACUAACCCGAGUGGAUAUAAUAGGGAUCCGAAUACGAUAACGAACAAGCUUCGGUGCGAUGUAGGUCCUUCAAUGUGAUACGAGUCCAAUUUAGCGCUUUUGAAGAUUGACCACGCUAGCGAUAACAACUAUAGGAGAGCGUAGGCAAAUUGAAUCACGAGGUAGUGUAAAGUUGAAGAAAGGAAGGAAGUGUAAGAUUGUGGACCAAAUAUUGCUUGUAUGGUGUUUGCCACCCAAGUCGUAAAGAAAAGUGAACGCGCGGAAAUUUCACAGCGAGCGUAGAUAACUGCUGUGAAAGGAUUAACCCUUCAAAAAGGGUGCACCCCUAGGGUCGUCAUCUGGACGGUGAGUAAAUUGGACCGAAUCCCCUUUCGGUUACCAUCCAGUCCCCGACGCCGACGAGUUGACCUCGUCGGAGUUUAUGUCACUCGCUACCACCAACGUACGUACCCCACCACGACCACAACGCCAUCAAGCGAUCGAGUGCGGCAGCUACUGGGAAACGUUUCGCACCGCCGGCUAACGCCGGUCACGUUCGCCGAGGGAAACGACCACCACGCCACCAAACGGUCGAGUGCGGCAGCUACCCGAAUAACGUUUCGCCGCGUACGGAUAACGCGGUUACGGCACGCCUUCAAACGGCCGAGUGAGGCAGCUAUCGUGGGAAACGUUUGGCCCAUCCAGAUAACGUCGGUCACGUCCAUAAGUGUAGCGGGAACAUAACUCAACUCGGCGCUACGCAACAUAGCCGAGAUCGCAACCGUCGGUGGUGACGACGGAAGGACCACCCGACGAGAAAGGUUUGCCGGACUCUCCGAUUAAACUGCAUUCACGGACGCGUGAAAUGCCUACCGGAUAAGCAACAGUGCACAGGUUAGAUCUAUCCGACUAUAUUCCAUCCCUGUUACCCCUACUAACCCUACGGUAAAGAAUUAAAUCGAUGUAAAAAACUGAAAGUGAAUUCUGCCAAAUAUUGGAUGUAAGGCACGUAGGUAGUAUCGACACGUGGGAGAUUAGAAAGAGACCUCAAUCACGGAGAAAAAACAUUAGUAAAUACAACCAAAUCUUAGGUAAUUUUAACCAGUAUUUCAGAUUGAAAUUUGCACAAACAAAAUAUUAGUUUGACUGAAGCAUUCGCCUUGGUUACAGCAAACUAAAGAACGUGGUUAAAAUUUUCGGGCGAGGGCAGUUAAGCUCAACAAAGCAUUAGUUAAAAACAACCAAUUUUUUAAUUCUUUCUUUUGACAGCUGUGCAAUGAAUCUGGAUUUUAGGUUGAAACAACCAAAUCAGAUUAUAUUGGAGCAACCAAAAACUGGUUUCUUGUUACAAAAAUACUAGUUUGAAAAAAGCAACCGGCUAUUCCACCUUCUUAUUCUUCUUAUUUUUUUUUCAAAAUAAAUUAGUUUAUAAAAUUUUAAUCAUAAAAAUAAGUUUAUCUGUUAUUUAUUGAUCAUUAAACGGAUUGAGGUACAUAUAUUACGAUCGUAUUACUUUGAACUUGACUUAUCCGCAGAAGGCAUCACUUCUGCGGAAAUUGACCGUUCUGGUCAUUUUCAGGUCAGUCCCGGACAAAUUUCAAUCCACACCUGGGGCAGAGCCGGAACCAUCCGUAUUGUCAGAGUUUCCAUAGUCCUUUUUAUGAUCUGUCGCAGAGCGCUUCUGUAAACGAUUAAUAACUGCACCGGUUUCGAAAAUGUAAAGUUUUUCAUUAAUCUUACCAGUUCCGGGAAAUGAAUCUGGGAUGAAUUUAAGAACUCCGAUUGUAUUGUAAACUAAAAAUGUAAUAUAAGAGCUUAUUUUAUUAUUAAUUACAGAUUUUAUUUUCACUCACCUGAUGUUUCAGGAUAAUCCGUUAAUUAUUCGGGAAUAAUUUAAAUUAUGAAUAAAUACUUCGCAGCUUUUCUCAAAGAUAAACUACUGCGCCACGCAAAAAUCAAUAGGCAGAAAUGGUAAACAAAUCAACAAAGCAAAUAAUAACCUAAUAAUUUAGUUUGAUGAUAACGUAAUUCUUGUUUCUUUCGCUACAAGCAAAAUAUUUGUUUGGUAGCAUGUCCGCUUGGCUUAAUCAACCUAAUAUAUUAGGUUGAAUAUUCAGCUCCACAUCGAUUUUAAUCAACCUAACUUUUGGUAAAAAAAAACUAUAUGAUUGUUAAGAACAAUAAAUAACGUAGUUGAUAACAACCAAAAACAAGGUUGUUUCCUAAUAAUGUCCUUAGGUAGGAACAACCAAGUGACAUAUUCACUUACAACAAAAAAUGUGACUUUGAAAUUAUAAAAUACUAUUUUUGAACAACCAUUUUAUUAGUUUGAAAAACAACCAAGAUUUUAUUUGUUCCAAACUACAUCGAUUUCUCUCCGUGAUUGGAAUUUG